CACUUUUUUUUUAUAAAAACUAUACAAACAUUUCAUAAAUGACCUAUUAGAACAAUACAUAUAGCCAAUAAUGAUACAUGCAACUUUUUUAAAUAUCAGGGGGUAGCUGAUGUCUUUUUCAACGCGGGGUGUAUUCAUGGGAAGUCUCAGUCAGAAGCAAGAAUGACAAUGUCUUCAAAUGCAAAUCACAGAGAGAAGAUAUCAGAACACUUCUACAUGCUGAAUUGAGCCUAAACUAGCACCAGAUGU
rnacentral:lncRNA from 1 species